UGAAAGCCGCAGCGGUAAUACGGCGGUUGCGCGCGUGAAUCAGCAUUACUGGGCGUAAAGCGCGCGUAGGCGGUUUGGUCAGUCGGAUGUGAAAGCCCUGGGCUCAACCUGGGAAUUGCAUUCGAUACUGCCAGACUAGAGUCUGGGAGAGGGAUGCGGAAUUCCGGGUGUAGCGGUGAAAUGCGUAGAUAUCCGGAGGAACAUCAGUGGCGAAGGCGGCAUCCUGGACCAAGACUGAAGCUGAGGUGCGCACGCGUUGGGCGCAAACAGGAUUAGAUC
rnacentral:rRNA from 1 species